rnacentral:rRNA from 1 species
CCUACGGGAGGCAGCAGUGGGGAAUAUUGCGCAAUGGGCGCAAGCCUGACCCAGCAACGCCGCGUGAAGGAAGAAGGCUUUCGGGUUGUAAACUUCUUUUAUCAGGGACGAAGCAAGUGACGGUACCGGAUGAAUAAGCCCCGGCCAACUACGUGCCAGCAGCCGCGGUAAUAAGUAGGUGGGAAGCGUUAUCCGGAUUUACUGGGUGUAAAGGGCGUGUCGGCGGGAGUGCAAGUCAGAUGUGAACACUAGGGGCUCAACCCAUAGCCUGCAUUUGAAACUGUACUGCUUGAGUGCUGGAGAGGCAAGCGGAAUUCCGAGUGUAGCGGUGAAAUGCGUAGAUAUACGGAGGAACACCAGUGGCGAAGGCGGAUUGCUGGACAGUAACUGACGCUGAGGCGCGAAAGCGUGGGGAGCAAACAGGAUUAGAUACCCCUGUAGUC